CCCCUUUUAGUAAAUAGGGGGUUUUUUAAUAAAAGUAACGUAUGAUCUAAGAAAAGGGGUCUCUUUAAAUGAGAUAUAAGAGACCCCUCGUUAAAAAAUGAGGUUCCUUAUUUAGUAUUAAAAUUUAACCAAACUUAAGGAACCUUUUAUACUCAAAACCGGUUUCUUAUGUUUUUUUAAUUAAAUUAAAAAAAAUGAAAAAAUAAAAUUGGUAAGUGCAAAACUAGCUGCUGUAUUUCAUUCACCUAUACAUUAAAAAUAUUAAAUUCACACUUUACCGUACCGCCACUACUACACUCAACCUUCCAUCUUCCUCCAUUACCUCCAAUUACGAUCAACCUCCAAUCUUCCUCCAUUCUUCCAAUUUCGCAUAAGCCCUUGCCCAUCACAAAAGUGAUUGCUCAUUCUCUUAUCAGCCUACUAAAGCCACCAUCGCCAAUUUUCUCAAGUUUUUGUGUCGUCUAAACUACCGCCGGCACCGCCACAGAAGCCACCGAAACCAUCACCGCCACUGAAGCCACCGCUCAUCAUCUCUGCAGAAUUUGCAUGUUGUUUUAUUCUUGAAAGGAUUUGAUGUACCAGAGAAGCGCAAAAAAUAUAUCUUAGGGAGGGCUUCUAUUCGAUGGAGGGCCUUCAAAACAAGAUUGAGAAAGUACUGGCUAUACAAGGUAUAUGGAAAUAAGAAAGUGGUAAGGAAAACAUCGCCAUGGAAAUAUCCAAUGAUACUGCAAACUGAUUGGAACAAAUUUAUAAAGAUUUAUACCGAAGAUGAUGCAUUUCAGAGUACGUUGGAUGCCCAAGCUCAAAGAGGAGAAAUAACCGCCAAGGGUCGGGAUGACGUAUUAGCCAAAGCAAUAAAUAAGCCUGAGCAUGGUGGUCGUGUAAGGGCUGUUGGAUCGAGCGUUUCAAAUAAGGCAUAUUUUGGGUACAACCGACCAACACCUCCAAAUCGUAUGCAGGCACAAGUCCAAUUAUCUGAUGAAAGAGAUGGUUACGUUGAUGCCUUACAUUAUAUCAAGCCCUGAUUUCAACCUAGAUCAAUUUAGACAAUUCAUGACAAGUGGUGGUGCUUUAGGCGGCCAAGGGUCGGUGAGUACUCCAUUUGGGAGUUAUGUUGCCCUACUUGGUGGCCAAGGGUUGGAUGCUUCCCAAUUUGGUUUCCCUAUGCAAGGGUUUGGUGGUCCUCAAUUUAGUGCUCUUAAUGGACAACUUAGUUGCUCAAGUGGCCAAGUAGGUGGAUGUGAUGUCAAUAAUGUUGGUUUUAACGGCCUUGGUGCUCAUUUAAGUAAACAUGUUGGCAGAGACAAUGUAGACCUUGAAAUAAAUGGUACUUCGGAACCUAACCAGGAGGAGAUUUUGCCUUACCAUGUUCAUUGGCCCAAGCAACACUUAAUGCGAAGUGAUCAACAAAUAGAGCAAAAUCGUGCUUCUUCUCCUCAAAUAAGUCAUGAGCUAAUUGAUGAUGAUCUGAUUACUCAUAAUCAAUUUAGAAGUGGUCUGACAAGGCAUGAUCCAGUGAGUGUUAUUGAACAUACUCUUCCCGAGGGUUGGAGUGAUUGUUCUUUGGCAAUUCAAAGUGAGAAGGAGCUACAUAUUGUUGCCAAGGGAAAGGUGGAAAAAAGAAAAUCAGAACAAGUAAUUACUGUUCAUAAUGUUAAGAUUGUGACUGGUCUUCUACGAGUCUUGGUUGAUCAAGUGGUGAUGCUAGCAGCUCUUAUGCCAUGUCCAACCUCAUAGUUCACGUACGUUUCUCAAGCUAAGGGUAGUUUUUCUCCCUGGCCAAGUCACUUGAUUUUCCAAUGAUGAAGGAUGAUGAACAAACAACAAAACUACUUGAUCAACCCCUGACUACUCCAUCCCCAGAAACACCAUCAUCACAAGCAUCCACUACCCAUAAUUAAGUACGUCAUCAGAGAUGAGGAUUGUGCUAAGUUAACUACCAGUUUGUUGCGAAAAUUCAAAAUUGAAGCUGGGAGAAUGAAAGAAAAUGAUAUUGCAUAUCAAUAACAAUCCCAACAAGUGUGUAUGGACAUGAGCAGAAACUUAAAAUUGAUUAUGCAUACAUUUUUGACUGGUGCUUUCAAAGAGAGAUUGGAGCUUCACAUUUGUCUAUCUUUAUGAAGUAAAUGCCUAGUGACUUACCUUUUUUUUCUAUUGCUUUCUAACUAUCAGUUUUAUAUUAUUUGUAAUAAUAUAUUGCUUUCUAACUAUCAGUUUUAUAUUAUUUGUAAUAAUAUGUUAAUUGAUGUGGAAGGUACUUGAGCGAAAUGUGUAAACAAGAUAGUGUUGCUGGAAUGUAUGGAUUUUCCGAUAUUGGUUGUUUAUCUCCACCAAUGACUGAAAAAGGACGGUCAGACUAUUUAGCAAGUGUGUUUGGUCAAAAUGAAGGGAAGAAUAGUAAGUGUGAAUUAUAUAUAAAACUAUUUUUUGGGAUGUUCAAUGAUAAUAAUGUCAAUGUUACUUCUCUUACUAAUGUUACAUAUAGUCGGCAUUGGAUGGUUGCGAUCAUUAAACCUUGGAAUGCAGUGGUGUUUUGGCUAGAUCCAGAUGGAGCAGAAAAUGAAAUUAGUGAAUUUGCUCAAAAGACCAUCAAUGAUGUCCUCGUCAAUCACUAAAUUCCUGCGAUAGUGGAUACUAUGUGUGCCGCUACAUGCUUGAGACUAUAGACAAAAGACGACAAGUGAUUCCUCAUCAGUACUUUACUGGAGUAUCUUCUUCUUAUUCUCAAGCAAAUAUUGACGAGCUAAGAGACUUAUGGGUUAAUUAUGUGAACGAGCAUAAGCAAGUCGGUGAAGAAUAUGACGAUGGUGUGGAUUAUGAUGAGUAAAUUUAUAUGCAUCGCGCUACCAUUACAAUUUUAGUAUUUUAUAUUGUCUUUUUUCCUUUGGUACCACGUACAACAUAAACACUCUAAAUUUGUACUCGUAGUAAAAUAUUUAUUUUCGAUGAAAGUAUGCAAUAUUUUAUC